GUACUGCUGAAGAGUCCCAAACUAGGACGAAACGGCUGUCCAGUAA
rnacentral:hammerhead_ribozyme from 1 species